rnacentral:misc_RNA from 1 species
UCUCCGUAGGUGAACCUGCGGAGGGAUCAUUACCGAGUGCGGGCCUCCGUGCCCAACCUCCCAACCCUUUGUUAAUGAAUACCUGUUGCCUCGGGGGGCGACCCGGACCUCGCGCCGGGGGUCCCCCAGAGGUCCAUCAAACACUGCGUCUUUGCGUCGGAGUAUUGAAAUCAAUCAAUCAAAACUUUCAACAACGGAUCUCUUGGUUCUGGCAUCGAUGAAGAACGCAGC